rnacentral:tRNA from 1 species
GCCGGGGCUGGAACGCGUGUUCUACACCGAUUCGGGUUCGGUGGCGGUGGAGGUGGCCAUGAAAAUGGCCGUGCAGUUCUGGCUCACUGGAG